rnacentral:rRNA from 3 species
GAACUGAAGAGUUUGAUCCUGGCUCAGAUUGAACGCUGGCGGCAUGCCUUACACAUGCAAGUCGAACGGCAGCACGGGUGCUUGCACCUGGUGGCGAGUGGCGAACGGGUGAGUAAUACAUCGGAACAUGUCCUGUAGUGGGGGAUAGCCCGGCGAAAGCCGGAUUAAUACCGCAUACGAUCCACGGAUGAAAGCGGGGGACCUUCGGGCCUCGCGCUAUAGGGUUGGCCGAUGGCUGAUUAGCUAGUUGGUGGGGUAAAGGCCUACCAAGGCGACGAUCAGUAGCUGGUCUGAGAGGACGACCAGCCAC